CCUACGGGAGGCUGCAGUGGGGAAUAUUGGACAAUGGGGGCAACCCUGAUCCAGCCAUGCCGCGUGUGUGAAGAAGGCCCUCGGGGUGUAAAGCACUUUCAGUGAGGAAGAACGCCUGGUGGUUAAUACCCAUCAGGAAAGACAUCACUCACAGAAGAAGCACCGGCUAACUCCGUGCCAGCAGCCGCGGUAAUACGGAGGGUGCGAGCGUUAAUCGGAAUUACUGGGCGUAAAGCGCGCGUAGGUGGCUUGAUAAGCCGGUUGUGAAAGCCCCGGGCUCAACCUGGGAACGGCAUCCGGAACUGUCAAGCUAGAGUGCAGGAGAGGAAGGUAGAAUUCCCGGUGUAGCGGUGAAAUGCGUAGAGAUCGGGAGGAAUACCAGUGGCGAAGGCGGCCUUCUGGACUGACACUGACACUGAGGUGCGAAAGCGUGGGUAGCAAACAGGAUUAGAUACCCCGGUAGUC
rnacentral:rRNA from 1 species